rnacentral:misc_RNA from 1 species
UAGCAGACCUUACUCGUGGCCGGCCAUCUUUGAAUCUUUGUACUGACGCAGUUUGUUAGACUUCCUUUUUUAAGGACGUUUAACGACUCUUAUUUUAGCCCAAUGAUGAAUCGAAGCAAUAACAAUAGUAGGCGAGUUUACGUUGGAAACUUGCCUUCUAACGUAGACGAAAGAGAUUUGGAAGAUAUCUUUUACAAAUACGGAGAAAUUGCCGACGUCGACUUGAAAAUUCCUCGUUAUGGUACUGGAGGCACACCGUUUGCUUUCGUCGAAUUUAAUGACCCAAGAGAUGCUGAAGAUGCAGUCAGAGGGAGAGAUGGAUACGAAUUUGAUGGUCAGAGGAUUCGUGUAGAGUUUCCACGUGGUGGACGUGGGGGUGGCCGAUCAGGUGGAGGAUUUGGUGGUGGUGGCUAUGGUGGUGGUGGUGGUGGUGGUGGUGGUGGUGGCGGUGGUCGUGGUCCUCCUCCACGGCGCUCUGAGUACCGAGUCUUAGUCUCUGGGUUGCCUCCCACUGGUAGUUGGCAGGAUCUCAAGGACCAUAUGCGAGAUGCUGGUGAUGUUCAGUUUACUGACGUUUUCAAGGAUGGAACUGGUAUUGUGGAAUACUCUCGUUAUGACGACAUGAAAUAUGCCCUGAAACAUCUUGAUGACUCCAAGUUCCGUUCUCAUGAGGGUGAAGUUGCUUUCAUUCGUGUAAAACAGGACAAUCCUGGUGGAGGCCGUGGGUCACGAAGCCGUAGUCGGUCACGUUCACGAAGCAGAUCCCCAAGAAGGAAGUCCCAUUCCCGCUCCCGCAGCCCUCGUCGAUCAUAUUCACCAAAGAAAUCCAAGUCCCCUUCCAGAUCACCGAAGAGGAGAAGAUCUGGCUCUCCAAGGCGUUCUAAAUCUCGUUCACGUUCACGUUCAUAGACAUUCCACUGCAUUCCUGUUAUGUGUAGUUCUGUUCUUUAUUGUUUUGAUGUAAGAGAAGGCAUAAAUAGAGUGACGUCUUAGCUGUAACAAAAGAUAGCUUUUUAUUUCUGAUUUUGUGUAGUCAGGCACAUCUUUUACUCUUCCAUGAUAUCAUUUUCAGGGCUGCACAAGCAAAUUGUGAUAUUGGAAAGGAAAGCUAGGAAAGAAAACAACAAUAGAUGUUUCUGCACUUAACUUGCUAAGGAAAUCAGAAACUGGAUAAGGAACCAGUGGAUUAAAAUACCCUCUGGGAACAAUAGGAUCAAUUGGACAUAGGACAUUUUCUUUGGAUAUCAUGGUAUGCAUGGUUUCUCAAUUAUGAUGAUAAACCUACAUCAGAAAUUGACACUUUUUUUAAGACUGCAGAUGGGUAAUUAUGUUAAUGUGAACCCAUUUAAAGACCUUUGAGUUCCAUUUGAUUAAGACAAUGUAUUUGGUUUCAUUUUAAUUUAAUUUUGAUGUAUGUGCAAAAGUAAAAUACUGUUCCAGCAAGCAAGAAUUAAAGAACAGUAAGUCUUAAAUAAUGUGGCUGACUACUGCAUGAUUCUCAGUACUUUACUUAAAGACAAGCAGCAUUCCUGCAUUUUUCCUCUCAAGCAUGCUGUGUUGUUUAAAAUUGAAAGAAAUUAUUGACAAGUUAACUUUUUAUAAUUCUGUGACAGAUCUAAAGCUGUCUGGAGGAGACCGGAUCCUCUCAUGUCAGUGAUCACGGAAUAGCAUAGGAACUGGAGGUCAGCUCCAGUACAGUUUUGGGACAGAACAUUGGAAACAAUCAGGAGUCAAUUUUUUGGAACUCAUUCAUUCGCCAGGAUAGGAUUUGGAUGUAAACUCUUUUGGCAGUUGCCAACAUUUUUGGAGGAAAAUCAGAGUUUUGGAUGGAGGAAAAGCAAUGACUAUCUUUCAAAUAUAAUGGUCUCUCAAAGUACUCUUCCAUGGAGGGUAGCCUCAAUGUGGAACACAGUCUACCGGAUUUGCUUGCAGAAAACGAAUGCAGGGAUGUGAAGUAACCAGUUGACAAGUAUCCUAUCGUUGAGGUCAUGUCAUAUACAUACAUGAUUAUCAUUGUUUGGUCAAACUGAGUAAAAGUUAUUAUGGAAUCACAAAUUGUUGUUGAUCUUAA